rnacentral:rRNA from 1 species
UACGUAGGGGGCAAGCGUUGUCCGGAUUUAUUGGGCGUAAAGAGCGUGUAGGCGGUCAGGUAGGUCCGUUGUGAAAACUCGAGGCUCAACCUCGAGACGCCGAUGGAAACCAUCUGACUAGAGUCCGGAAGAGGAGAGUGGAAUUCCUGGUGUAGCGGUGAAAUGCGCAGAUAUCAGGAGGAACACCGGUGGCGAAGGCGGGACUCUGGGCCGAUACUGGCGCUGAGGAGCGAAAGCGUGGGGAGCGAACAGG